rfam:Lingula anatina scaffold1, whole genome shotgun sequence.
GUUGGUCUGUGAUGUAUGUAUUACCUACAUUGUAUGAGCAGUAUUCAGUGAUGUGAAAGGAUUACUGAGAUCAAC